rnacentral:rRNA from 1 species
GACGAGGGCGCGAGCGUUGUCCGGAUUUAUUGGGCGUAAAGAGCUCGUAGGCGGCUUGUUGCGUCGACCGUGAAAACCCGCGGCUUAACUGUGGGCUUGCGGUCGAUACGGGCGGGCUGGAGUUCGGUAGGGGAGACUGGAAUUCCUGGUGUAGCGGUGAAAUGCGCAGAUAUCAGGAGGAACACCGGUGGCGAAGGCGGGUCUCUGGGCCGAUACUGACGCUGAGGAGCGAAAGCGUGGGGAGCGAACAGG